GUUACCAUAUUAUCUUUGUUCAUACGUAUUAACAAACAUUUUCCAAAUGCGUUUGUAUUUGAAAAGUUUCAACGAUCGUUUUGCGAGUGACUGCAAGUUUGAUUUUUAAUUGAUAUUUUAUGUUUAAAUGACUUCACGCAUUGGGAGCAUUGAUAUGAUCAUUUGUGUGGACACGGGUGUGUAGAUGGGCAUUUUUAAGAAAGGACUUGGAGCAGUCAGUACACUUGUGCGGUCGCUCCCCAGUGUGAGAAAGGAGGUGUGUCUUGAGUGUGUUUUUUUGCUUAUAUGACUUCGAGAACUGGGAACAUUGAUAUGGUCGAUCAUCUAUGUGCGUACUGAUGUGCCAUUGAAGAGUUCCGACGCGAGAGAAAGACUUGGAGCAGUGAGAACUCUUAUAAGGUCGUUCCCCCGUGUGACAACGGAUUUGUUCCCUGAGAACGUAUUUGAGUACAAACGAUUUUAAGCAGUUAGAACAUUUGUAGGGUCUGUCCAUAAUAUCCGUCUUAUUUUCUUCAUCAGUUUCGAACUGGUUCGAUUGCUCACUUUCACUAUCUGACUGUUCCCAAAUAUCGUCUUCCAGGUUAUCACAGGUGUUUUCUUCUCUAUCCUUUUCCAUCAGUAUUAAAUAAAGUUUAUGGCUCUGCUCUCAGAUGGUCUUAAGAUUGAAUGCACUCAUUGCAUCCUCAAUGCAGGGCGGACAUAUGUGCUAUCAUGUCAGCAAUACAAGUAUCCAAUUUUGGUCUUUCAUCAAAAAUAUUUGUGAAUGGUCCGGAGUUUGCCAUGCAAACUCUGCUUUUAUUAAUUGCAAAAAUGUAGUUUGUAUGUUUCCUUGGCACUAAUUAUGUUGUUUUGCCCACAAAACAUAAUAAUUAGAGCUGUUAGACGCGAAUUGUAGCACGACAAAUUUAUGUUAUGCGAAAAGCCACAAAAAGUGCUGCUUGGCGCGAGAGGUAUCGACGUGUUAUCGAAAUAGUUUAUGUUAACUGCAACGUUUUGCAGAAAUUAUAUUCAUUUAAAUUCUGUGUUAUAUGAUACUGCAAGAGGACAGAACAAGAUAAAACACAAACUAAAUUGCAAAUCUGCAAUGCUUCGAAGGACCCAUGGGAGGAAUGAUUUGGGAUCAUACACAAGAGCAACGCCUAGGUUUAGUACCUAUGCAACAGGUGCGGGCAUGGAAUACUGUUAGUGGAUUUUCUGAAAAUAAAUACAUUCUCAAGCUGGUUCUGCUUUUAACACGCAACGUAUCUCAAUAGGACAUGGCAAUGUAUUACCAACCAUGAAUUCCAUUCGAAAGCACAUCAAGAAGGCGCUGAGAGAAAUUAUCUACGAGUGCAAGAUCUAUGCGGAAUAUGUUUUGCGUGAUUGUACAGAGCAGGAGCGACACUCGUACAUUAUGGCAUAGAAGCUGGCCACCGCGUUCAAGCCCAGAACCAUCCAUAUGGUUUUUUGGGACAGAGGUCCGUCUAUAGCGGCAUAUGGCAUAUGAGUCAUCAGUCCUGUGACUUAUCUUUCUUCUGUGCGUAUGCUAAACUGUUCCUGCAGACCGCCGGCUUACAGCAUUUUUAAGAUCGUACACGUCUGGAAUAACUAUUCAAUGCAAUAGUUUGAUUAAUUAUCUAACUAAUAGAUAAGUAUAAAAUGAAUAUCUUUAAAUUUGAGAAAA